UUAAUAAAAUAUUAUGCGUUAUUUUUGCAGAGGUGUUGUCGUGGGAUUUACAGGGCAUCUUUGACUAAUACAUUUCUUUUCUAAUCUCUGCCUUUUAUGUCAAGAUGGACCUGCACAAACAUACUUUAAAUAUCAAGCUCAUGUUUACUUGACUGUAUAUAUUUUAUUGCCUUCUCCCACACUGGGUACAGAAGUAUGCAGGGUGAAUAAAGCAUGCACAUAAUUAUAAAAUAGGAGUGUUGCGUACCAAAAAAGAAAGUACAGAUUAGGCAAAGAAAAAAAAGAAAGGACACAGAAAGUGGGGUACUCAGAAAGUGUAGCAGGAUAAAGACCUAGAAUUAAAAAGAGUAAAGGAACAAGAGAACACGAUAAUCCUGGGAUGUUUCCUGGGUGAAAGUCUCCAGCCAGGUUUGUGUCCUGGGUCUGUGAAUGGAGGUUAAGUAUUUGCAUGGAUUGUAUUUGCUCACGCACAGACACUAGAGCCUACAUGCAAGGCCUUUGUCUUAUCUGUCUUCCCUGCUCUCGAUUUCCAGCCAGGCACAGAUAAGGUUUUACAUAAUGAAGGCGAGAACAAGUGUGGAGUUCCAUUUGAUUCAUGGCCUCGUCUGUUCAUUUGGGACAAUUUGAUUGAUUGAUUUUUAGGCCAAAUCGUGUCUCUCAGCUCUGAUCACCUUUAUGUAAACCCCCAUAAGUGGAAGCUUAUGGAGCGUCCACUCAUCCAGGCAAGACAGGAAAUAAACAGAAACUGUGGCAGGUGUAGGCCAGACUCUGGAGCUGGGUGAAGAACUGGAAGAAGGAGACCAAGGCUGAAAGCAGCCUGGGAAGUAUCCCUAGCACCAUCUUGACCAGGGGAGGUAAGGACAAAAAGCUUCACCCACCAUGCAAACUUCCAGGAGGGAAGGGAGAAGCAAAUUUUCAAAGUGCUUCCAUAAGGAACGUUAGCCAAGAGUUGUCAUCCUCCUUUACACAUCAGGGUCACAGAGUGUCUCUGCCUUCCUCCCUCCCUCCCUCCCUCCCUCCCUUCCUUCCCCCCUCUCUCCCUUCCUUCCUGUGUUUGUGUAUGUGAUGUUGGGAUUUCAUAUGGAGACUUAGGCAUGAUGGACAAAUGCCUGCUGCACUACAUCCCCAUCCCAAGGAAUCAUGAAGAUGAAAACAAAACCAGAAGCAGAAAAGUUCCAGAGUGUUGUCAGAGUUCCACCCAGUACAUCAGAAAGAGAAUCCCGGAAGCAAGGCCUGGACAUUGGCAUUAAGGGAAGAAAAAAACAAAAAAUUCUCCGGGCAAUUUUAAAAUAGAAACUGUGAUUUUUGAGGGCAGUUACAGAUGGACCAAUUUGAACCACAUUCAGGAUUCAUCAAGCUGUUCUGAAACCAAACGAGCCAAGUAAUGGCAUGGAAGCUAGUAGCUGUGCAGGAAAACAGGGAGGAGGGCAGAGGAAAGCUCGGGUCUGUUUGCAGCCUCGUCAUCUCUCCUUAAGGCUGCUGUGGCUUGACAUUACCUCUCUGUAGCCAGGACUGCAGUCACAUUCCACCCCCUGGGCUAGAUGACCUUGUGGCCUUUUGGGAAACUUGCCUCACAGAGCACACACCUGCGUUUGUGAAGGCCUGGCAGGCAGCCAGCACGCUCAGCUCCCAAGCCCUAACCUGGUUAUUAUUUUUUUUUUCUUUCUGUUCUUGUUUGUUUCUUGAUGCAACUGUGACAUCUUUUCCUUCUCAUAGUGGGAUCCUAGAUACAAACCGUGGAGUGCAGAGUGAUAAUCAAUACUGUCUGAUGCAAGAGCUCCUGAGUGCUGUAACCUCCUGCAUCUUACCUUCCGUGACCUACCCUCAUGAGUGCGUGGGAAAGAGGACAGGCUAAGGUGGGGGAGUGAGCAUGCUCCCUGGAUGAGUAGCAAGGAUAAGCAACUAUACAUAUUAUAUUUCAGUCACAGUUUGCCCAUGGAGGUAUUAUUCCAGGAGAGAUGUUACAUAGCUCUUUCCUUAACAUGGAUUGCUUUUGAGAGAGACGAAUAUUUAUUAUGAAAAAAAAUGUUGGGUGAAUUUUCUUUUCUUCAGAUUGUUCUACCUAGGAGGUUUGACUGGUACCAUCUUUGGGACAGGAAAUGCUCCCAAGAAUGCUGGAUUAGAAUGACUGCUGUAGUAAUUUAUUUAAAAUGAGGUUUUGUUUGUUUGUUUGUUUGUUUUUUGUUUUUUUUUGCUACUAGUUUUAAAGAAAGCAUUCAUCAAGAAAUAGCUAUAAAAGAGAUUACGGGGAACUUGGGUUCACAUACAUUCAGUCCUAGCUUCAGUACUGGGUAAAGAAGAUAUUUUAUUUACAUUUAUUUAUAUGGAAACUGUUUUUAUUUUUUGAGAUGGGGAUCUGUUUUGAUUACUUUUUGUUAACUUGACAGAGACUAAAGUCACCUGGGAAGAGGGACCCUCAAGUGAGAAUUGCCUUUAUCAGAUUGGCCUGCAGGGGUGGGGCAUUCUCUUGAUUUAUGAUUAUUGUGGGUUGGCCUAGACAACUAUGGGCGGGGCCACCCCUGAGCAGGUAGUCCUUGGAUGUAUAAGAAAGCAGGCUGAGCCAACCCUGGAGACAGCCAGCCAGCAAACACCCCUUCUGUUUUAGUUCCUGCCUCUGGUCCCUAUUUGAGCUCAUAUCCUUGGCUGUCCUUGAUGGACUGUAACGUGUAAGAUGUAAUAAACCCUUUCCUCCCAGGUUACUCUUGGCCAUACCUUAAAUAUUGUAUUAUCAUUUUAAAAUUAUGUCUAUAUGUGUGGCUAUGUGCACAUGAGUACAGUUACCUGUGGAGAAUACAGGCCUUGGAUCUCCCGGAAGUUAGAAUUUACAGGUGUCUGUGAAUCAACUGAAUUGGAAGAACCAAAGUGCUCUUAGUCCCCUCAGCCCCUAAGAAGACAGAACUGGAGUGAACAUUUGUAAUACUGAUUUUGAUGUCAGGUGUAUUGUUAGGUCAGUAAUUUGAACCAUUGAGUGUUUCUCAGAUGUCUAGAAAAGGCCAGCAUUUCACAUUGCUUUCUGUUGCUGUGACACAAUACCUGAGACAGCCAACUU
rnacentral:lncRNA from 1 species